rnacentral:rRNA from 1 species
ACAGCAACAGCCGCGGGAAUACGUAGGUGGCAAGCGUUGUCCGGAAUUAUUGGGCGUAAAGGGCUCGCAGGCGGUUUCUUAAGUCUGAUGUGAAAGCCCCCGGCUUAACCGGGGAGGGUCAUUGGAAACUGGGAAACUUGAGUGCAGAAGAGGAGAGUGGAAUUCCACGUGUAGCGGUGAAAUGCGUAGAGAUGUGGAGGAACACCAGUGGCGAAGGCGACUCUCUGGUCUGUAACUGACGCUGAGGAGCGAAAGCGUGGGGAGCGAACAGGAUUAGAUACCCCAGUAGUCCCUGUCUCUUAUAC